rfam:Ailuropoda melanoleuca scaffold1544_35, whole genome shotgun sequence.
ACCUGGCUGGCUCAGUCGGAAGAGCAUUUGACUCUUGAUCUUGGGGUCAUGAGUUCGAGCCCCAUGUUGGGUA